rnacentral:rRNA from 1 species
AUUGAACGCUGGCGGCAGGCCUAACACAUGCAAGUCGAACGAGUGGCGGAAGGGUGAGUAAUGUCUGGGAACCUGCCCGAUGGAGGGGGAUAAGUACUGGAAAAGGUCGCUAAUAACGCAUACCAUCGGAUGUGCCCCGAUGGGAUGAGCUAGUGGGUGGGGUAAAGGCUCACCUAGGCAACGAUCCCCAGCUGGUCUGAAAGGCUGACCAGCCACACGGGAACGUAGACACGGUCCAGACGCCUACGGUAGGCAGCAGUGGGGAAUAUUGCACAAUGGGCGAAAGCCUGAUUCAGCCAUGCAGCGUGUAUGAAGAAGGCCUUCGGAUUGUAAAGUACUUUCGGCGGGGAGGCGUUACCCGCAGAGAAAGCCACGGCUAACUCCGUGCCAGCAGCCGCGGUAAUUC